UNCAUGGCUACAGACCUGCGGUGACUCAC
rnacentral:piRNA from 1 species